rnacentral:SRP_RNA from 2 species
GCUGGGCAUGGUGGCGUGUGCCUGUAAUCCCAGCUACUCGGGAGGCUGAGGCAGGAGAAUCGCUUGAACCCAGGAGACAGAGGUUGCAGUGAGCCGAGAUCACACCACUGCACUCCAGCCUGGGCAACAGAGUGAGACUUUGUCUCAA